GAUGAACGCUAGCGGCAGGCCUAACACAUGCAAGUCGAGGGGUAGCAGGAUUAAGCUUGCUUAAUUGCUGACGACCGGCGCACGGGUGCGUAACGCGUAUGCAACCUACCUUAUACUGGGGUAUAGCCCGGAGAAAUUCGGAUUAAUCCCCCAUAGUACUAAUGAAUCGCAUGGUUUAUUAGUUAAAGCAUUGCGGUAUAAGAUGGGCAUGCGUCCUAUUAGCUAGAUGGUGAGGUAACGGCUCACCAUGGCUACGAUAGGUAGGGGGCCUGGAAGGGUGGUCCCCCACACUGGUACUGAGACACGGACCAGACUCCUACGGGAGGCAGCAGUGAGGAAUAUUGGUCAAUGGGCGCAAGCCUGAACCAGCCAUGCCGCGUGCAGGAAGAAUGCCCUAUGGGUUGUAAACUGCCUUUAUUUGGGAAUAAACCUCUUUACGUGUAGAGAGCUGAAGGUACCAAAUGAAUAAGCACCGGCUAACUCCGUGCCAGCAGCCGCCGUAA
rnacentral:rRNA from 1 species